rnacentral:rRNA from 1 species
GACGAACGCUGGCGGCGUGCUUAACACAUGCAAGUCGAACGAUGAACCCGGAGCUUGCUCCGGUGGAUUAGUGGCGAACGGGUGAGUAACACGUGAGGAACCUGCCCUUGACUCUGGGAUAACUGCGGGAAACUGUAGCUAAUGCCGGAUACGGCCCUCGGCGGCAUCGCAAGGGGGGGGAAAGCAUUGUGGUAAAGGAUGGACUCGCGGCCUAUCAGCUAGUUGGUGAGGUAACGGCUCACCAAGGCGACGACGGGUAGCCGGCAUGGGAGGGUGACUGGCCACACUGGGACUGAGACACGGCCCAGAGUCCUACGGGAGGCAGCAGUGGGGAAUAUUGCACAAUGGGCGCAAGCCUGAUGCAGCAACGCCGCGUGAGGGAUGACGGCCUUCGGGUUGUAAACCUCUUUUAGUAGGGAAGAAGCGAAAGUGACGGUACCUGCAGAAAAAGCACCGGCUAACUACGUGCCAGCAGCCGCCGUAA